GACGAACGCUGGCGGCGUGCCUAAUACAUGCAAGUCGAACGAGAGCGACCGGUGCUUGCACUGGUCACUCUAGUGGCGAACGGGUGAGUCACACGUGGGUAACCUGCUCAUCAGAGGGGGAUAACCUCCGGAAACGGAUGCUAAAACCGCAUAGGUCUUUGAUCCGCAUGGCCUGAUGGGGAAAAGCGGCGGAAGCUUCUGCUGUCGGAUGGACCCGCGGUGCUGUAGCUAGUUGGUGAGGUCACGGCUCACCAAGGCCGUGAUGCAUAGCCGACCUGAGAGGGUGGUCGGCCACAUUGGGACUGAGACACGGCCCAAACUCCUGCGGGAGGCAGCAGUAGGGAAUCUUCCGCAAUGGACGCAAGUCUGACGGAGCAACGCGGAGUGAGUGGAAAAGGUGUUCGGAUCGUAAAACUCUGUUGUGAGAGAAGAACAAGUGCUAGAGUAACUGUUAGCGCCUUGACGGUAUCGAACCAGAAAGCCACGGCUAACUACGUG
rnacentral:rRNA from 1 species